GGGUGAGUAACACGUGACCAACCUGCCCCGCGCUCCGGGACAACCGCUGGAAACGGCGGCUAAUACCGGAUGCUCCGGGGAGGCCCCAUGGCCUCCCCGGGAAAGCCCUGACGGCGCGGGAUGGGGUCGCGGCCCAUUAGGUAGACGGCGGGGUAACGGCCCACCGUGCCCGCGAUGGGUAGCCGGACUGAGAGGUCGACCGGCCACAUUGGGACUGAGAUACGGCCCAGACUCCUACGGGAGGCAGCAGUGGGGAAUUUUGCGCAAUGGGGGGAACCCUGACGCAGCAACGCCGCGUGCGGGACGAAGGCCUUCGGGUUGUAAACCGCUUUCAGCAGGGAAGACAUAGACGGUACCUGCAGAAGAAGCUCCGGCUAACUACGUGCCAGCAGCCGCGGUAAUACGUAGGGGGCGAGCGUUAUCCGGAUUCAUUGGGCGUAAAGCGCGCGUAGGCGGCCGCCUAAGCGGAACCUCUAAUCCCGGGGCUCAACCUCGGGCCGGGUUCCGGACUGGGCGGCUCGAGUGCGGUAGAGGCAGGCGGAAUUCCCGGUGUAGCGGUGGAAUGCGCAGAUAUCGGGAAGAACACCGAUGGCGAAGGCAGCCUGCUGGGCCGCCACUGACGCUGAGGCGCGAAAGCUGGGGGAGCGAACAGGAUUAGAUACCCUGGUAGUCCCAGCCGUAAACGAUGGGCGCUAGGUGUGGGGGGACCAUCCCCCCGUGCCGCAG
rnacentral:rRNA from 1 species